AGCUGUUAAUACAGCAAUAACUACAUAUGUUGCCGUCACGGAUCAGACACCUAAUAAUUCUAUUACGUACGCAUUAGAUCCUGCAGUAUCUCCAUUUGCCUUGUCAACAGGUGGUGAAUUAACAAUAACUGCUGCCCUGGACGCAGAUACAACUUCCACGUACACGUUAAAUGUUGUGGCAACUGAUUCUGCAUCAGCUUCAGGUACAGCUACUAUAACGGUCUCAGUAAGUGAUAUCCCAGCCUUCGGUGCAGCUUCCUACACGCAGUGUAUAACUGAUGGAUCUGUUGCGGGUACGACACUGACGACUGUCCUCGCAUCUGAUCCUAGUGAUACUAUUACGCAUAGUAUUUUU
rnacentral:lncRNA from 1 species